GGGGUGGUAGCUCAGCUGGUUAGAGCAAGCGACUCAUAAUCGCUCGGUCACGGGUUCAAGUCCCGUCCGCCCCA
rnacentral:tRNA from 1 species